UAGGGAAUCUUCCACAAUGGGACGAAAGUCUGAUGGAGCAACGCCGCGUGAGUGAAGAAGUAUUUCGGUAUGUAAAGUUCUAUCAGCAGGGAAGAUAAUGACGGUACCUGACUAAGAAGCACCGGCUAAAUACGCGCCAGCAGCCGCGGUAAUACGUAUGGUGCAAGCGUUAUCCGGAUUUACUGGGUGUAAAGGGAGCGCAGGCGGUGCGGCAAGUCUGAUGUGAAAGCCCGGGGCUCAACCCCGGUACUGCAUUGGAAACUGUCGUACUAGAGUGUCGGAGGGGUAAGUGGAAUUCCUAGUGUAGCGGUGAAAUGCGUAGAUAUUAGGAGGAACACCAGUGGCGAAGGCGGCUUACUGGACGAUAACUGACGCUGAGGCUCGAAAGCGUGGGGAGCAAACAGGAUUAGAUACCCUGGUAGU
rnacentral:rRNA from 1 species